UUUUUACGCUGGCGGCAGGCUUAACACAUGCAAGUCGAGCGGAGAUGAGGUGCUUGCACCUUAUCUUAGCGGCGGACGGGUGAGUAAUGCUUAGGAAUCUGCCAUUUAGUGGGGGACAACAUUCCGAAAGGAAUGCUAAUACCGCAUACGUCCUACGGGAGAAAGCAGGGGAUCUUCGGACCUUGCGCUAAAUGAUGAGCCUAAGUCGGAUUAGCUAGUUGGUGGGGUAAAGGCCUACCAAGGCGACGAUCUGUAGCGGGUCUGAGAGGAUGAUCCGCCACACUGGGACUGAGACACGGCCCAAACUCCUACGGGAGGCAGCAGUGGGGAAUAUUGGACAAUGGGCGGAACCCUGAUCCAGCCAUGCCGCGUGUGUGAAAAAGGCCUUUUGGUUGUAAAGCACUUUAAGCGAGGAGGAGGCUACCUAGAUUAAUACUCUGGGAUAGUGGACGUUACUCGCAGAAUAAGCACCGGCUAACUCUGUGCCAGCAGCCGCGGUAAUACAGAGGGUGCGAGCGUUAAUCGGAUUUACUGGGCGUAAGCGUGCGUAGGCGGCUUUU
rnacentral:rRNA from 1 species